GUUGAAUCUCCUUGCUGUCCAAGGGACCCUCAAGAGUCUUCUCCAAUGCCACAAUUCAAAAACAUCAAUUUAAUUUAAAAAACUUUUAUUAUCCAGAAGUUACAUCCAUGCUUUGUAGAAAAUUAGCAUAUAUGUUAAAAAAUGAGAAAAUAAACCAGCAUUUUCCUGCCACCCAGAGAUUACUGUUAACAGCUAGACGUAAAUUUCAGAUUUUUUUUUGUAUUAUGUAUUUUUUAACACAAAUCAUAUAUACAUACAUUGUGUUACUAUAGUUAACAACCUUCCUCUUCUCAUUUUGGUCAGGUGUCAUCUCCUAUAAUACCCAGACAGCCUCCAACCUCUUUGUCAUUUUAAGGCAGACCAGACUAUGGAAAUGAUGUUAGACAAAAAGCAAAUUCGAGCAAUUUUCUUAUUUGAGUACAAAAUGGGUCGUAAAGCAGCAGAGACAAUUGGCAACAUCAACAACACAUCUGGCCCAGGAAUGCACAGUGAAAUGGUGAUUCAAGAAGUUUUGCAAAGGAGAUGAGAGGCUUGAAGAUGAGGAGUGCAGUGGCUGGCCGUCGGGAGGUGACAACAACCAAUUGAGAGCAGUCACUGAGGCUGAUCCUCUUACAACUACACCAAAAGUUGCCAAAGAACUCAGUGUCAGCUAUUCUACGGUUGUUCAGCAUUUAAAGUAAAUUGGAAAGGUGAAAAGGCUUGGUAAGUGGGUGCCUCAUGAGCUGACUGCAAAUCAAAAAAAUCAUCAUUUUGAAGUGUCAUCGUUUCUUAUUCUAUGCAACAACAACCAACCAUUUCUCAAUUGGGAUUGUGACCUGCAAUGAAAAGUGAACAGCAUACAGCAACCAGCAAUGACCAGCUCAGUGGUUGGACUGAGAAGAAGCUCCAAAGCACUUACCAAAGCCAAACUUGCGCCAAAAAAAGGUCAUGGUCACUGUUUGGUGGCCUGCUGCUGGUCUGAUCCACUGCAGCUUUCUGAAUCCUGGUGAAACCAUUAUAUCUGAGAAGUAUGCUCAGCAAAUCAGUGAAAUCACCAAAAACUGCAGCCGGUAUCAGUCAACAGAAAGGGCCCAGUUCUUCUCCAUGACAACACCUGACCAAAGGUCGCACAACCAAAAGUUGAAGGAAUUGGGCUACGAUGUUUUGCCUCAUCCGCCAUAUUCACCUGACCUCGGCCAACGGACUACUACUUCUUCAAUCAUCUUGACAACUUUUUGCAGGAAAAGUUCCACAACCAGCAGGAUACAGAAAAUGCUUUCCAAGAGUUCGUUGAAUUCUGAAGCAUUGAUUUUUAUGCUACAGGAGUAAGCAAACUUCUUUCUAGUUGGCAAAAAUGUGUUGAUUGUAAAGGUUCCUGUUUUGAUUAAUAAAGAUGUGUUUGAGCCUA